UUUCGGGUCGCCACCGGCCCAGGGCCAACUCGCGGAAGAUUGCAAGGAUGCUGGUGCGUCGCUCGACCAAGACGAUCAGGCGCAAGACGCGUGCAAUGUCGUGGAUCAAGUGGUCACCAUGCCGGCCCUGGACGACGAGCCUCGGAGCGACGCCAGCGACGGCAGCCGAGCCAAACUGACACAGAUGAAGGUGACGCCGCAGCGGACAAGGAG